rnacentral:rRNA from 1 species
UACGAAGGUGGCAAGCGUUACUCGGAAUUACUAGGCGUAAAGGGCAGGUAGGUGGUUUGGUAAGUCUGCUGUGAAAGCUCCCGGCUUAACUGGGAGAGGUCAACAGAAACUACCAGGCUUGAGUGUGGGAGAGGAUAUUGGAAUUCCCGGUGUAGCGGUGAAAUGCGCAGAGAUCGGGAGGAACACCUAUGGCGAAAGCAGAUAUCUGGACCACUACUGACACUCAGCUGCGAAAGCUAGGGGAGCAAACAGG